AACGAACGUUGGCGGCGUGGAUCAGGCAUGCAAAGUCGAACGCGAAAGGGGGGGGCAACUACCCCCGACGUAGGGGUGGCGAACGGGUGAGUAACGCGUGGGAAACCUGCCCUCGAGUUGGGACAACCUCUCAACGAGUGGACUAAUACCGAAUGUGGUCCCCGGGGGACAUCCCCUGGUGACUAAAGGCGGGGACCCGCAAGGGCCUGCCGCUCGGAGGAUGGUCCCGCGUCCCAUUAGCUAGUUGGUAGGGUAACGGCCUACCAAGGCACGAUGGGUAAGCUGGCCUGAGAGGACGACCAGCCACACUGGGACUGAGAUACGG
rnacentral:rRNA from 1 species